UACGUAGGUGGCAAGCGUUGUUCGGAUUUACUGGGCGUAAAGGGCGCGUAGGCGGCCACCGCAAGUCGACUGUGAAAUCUCCGGGCUUAACCCGGAAAGGUCAGCCGAUACUGCGGGGCUAGAGUGCAGAAGGGGCAACUGGAAUUCUCGGUGUAGCGGAUGAAAUGCGUAGAUAUCGAGAGGAACACCUGCGGCGAAGGCGGGUUGCUGGGCUGACACUGACGCUGAGGCGCGAAAGCUAGGGGAGCGAACGGG
rnacentral:rRNA from 1 species